AACGAACGCUGGCGGCAUGCCUAACACAUGCAAGUCGAACGAGACCUUCGGGUCUAGUGGCGCACGGGUGCGUAACGCGUGGGAACCUGCCCUUAGGUUCGGAAUAACUCCCCGAAAGGGGUGCUAAUACCGGAUAAUGUCUUCGGACCAAAGAUUUAUCGCCUUUGGAUGGGCCCGCGUUGGAUUAGCUAGUUGGUAGGGUAAAAGCCUACCAAGGCGACGAUCCAUAGCUGGUCUAAGAGGAUGAUCAGCCACACUGGGACUGAGACACGGCCCAGACUCCUACGGGAGGCAGCAGUGGGGAAUAUUGGACAAUGGGCGAAAGCCUGAUCCAGCAAUGCCGCGUGAGUGAUGAAGGCCUUAGGGUUGUAAAGCUCUUUUACCCGGGAUGAUAAUGACAGUACCGGGAGAAUAAGCGCCGGCUAACUCCGUG
rnacentral:rRNA from 1 species